AGGGAAACAUUUACAACAUCUGGCGCCAGACAGGAAAUCUGGAAGUGAAGGCUUCGCUUAGAGCAAAAAAAAGAAGUUUCACCAUAAAGGGUCCUUCGCUUUGAAUGAGCUGAAGAAAGAAACAUUAGCUUCUGCAUGUCAGUAAGUCAACCUCUCCUGCAUGAGCCACAGCAGCAACUUUAUUGAGCUCCAACUAUGUACUAGGCUCUUCUCAAGUUGGAUUCUCAUUCCCAGUCUUCCUUGCAGAUGGGCCAGACUCCUCCCAAGAGGUGCUUGGAAGAAUCAUGUGGACUCCUAAGAGCUGCGGGAAGAACUGGAGGUUAUCUUUGCCUAACUUGGGGAGAGCCAGUCUGAGAAUGAAUCUGACGCAGAGGAAAGUAGAGCUGAAGAAGACGGAGGGAACAGGGCCCUGAUGACGGUGUCUAGACACCUAGGUUCAAUGGUGCUCAGAGUCCAGGG